rnacentral:rRNA from 1 species
UACAGAGGUGGCAAGCGUUGUUCGGAAUUACUGGGCGUAAAGGGCGCGUAGGCGGUUCGUCAAGUCCUGUGUGAAAUCCCCCGGCUCAACUGGGGAACUGCACAGGAAACUAGCGGGCUUGAGUUCGGGAGAGGGAAGCGGAAUUCCGGGUGUAGCGGUGAAAUGCGUAGAUAUCCGGAGGAACACCAGUGGCGAAGGCGACUUCCUGGCCUGUUCCUGACACUGAGGCACGAAGGCCAGGGGAGCAAACGGG